rnacentral:rRNA from 1 species
AUGGCCAACGAGGGCUUGAUCCCCCACGGAGCUGCGAGGCUUCCGGGGAAGGAGUGGCAGCCCCAGCCAGAAGAGGGUGAGUGUGUGCUUCUGGCCACCCAUGUUGAUCGCGGGUUUUCCUUGCCGCCGAGUGUUUUCUUUCGUGGCUUUUUGAACUUCUUCGGAGCGCAGCUCCACCACUUUACCCCAAACUCCAUUGCCUAUCUUGCUGCGUUCGUGUCCAUGUGUGAGGGUUUCUUGGGCUGUCGACCGCACUGGGGUUUGUUCAAACAUAUAUUCACGUGUCGAUCUCAGACCGUGAAGAAGGCGAGCCCCGGUGAUGAGAGAACCCGAGUCGUCCAAAUGUGCGGGGGCCUGGGGAUUCAGGUGAGGAAUAAGAGCACCUUCCCGCCCAUGACCUUUCCCGAGUCCGUUAGAGGCUGGCAGUCGACUUGGUUCUACUGCCAGGUCCAGUCGACGCCAGGGCAGUCGAGUGGACUCCCUCCGUUCACCAUGGACCGAGUGAGCAAGCCUUCCCCUCUGAAGCUGAUUCCGGAGGAGAGAGCCGACGUGAAGAUGUUGAUGGAGCGCGUGGUGCAGUUGGUUCGGGAGGGAGUGACAGGCAUGGACCUCUUGGAGGUUUUCCUCAGGCGUCGCAUCCAGCCUCUCCAGUUCCGGAGCCACUGCAUGUGGUUGUACUGUGGGACCGAAGACGAGACUAGAGUCCAUCCAGAAGCAGUCGAUGAUGUCACUCUGGAAAGAUGGAUGGCGGCCGUCACCGGAAACAAGGACAACCCGCGCGGAGCCAGAAGGGUUCCUCCACUCGACCACAACAGCGACUCAAACAAGGUACACUUGCUCUGCUCUCCACUGCGCCCUCGUCGUAUUCAUUCCUGUUAA